ACUCAAAUGAAUUGACGGGGGCCCGCACAAGCAGUGGAUCAUGUGGUUUAAUUCGAAGCAACGCGAAAAACCUUACCUACAUUUGACAUCCUCUGACAACUCUAGAGAUAGAGCUUUUGUAGCAAUACAACAGAGAGACAGGUGCUGCAUGGCUGUCGUCAGCUCGUGUGGUGACAUGUUGGGUUAAGUCCCGCAACGAGCGCAACCCUUGUCCUUAGUUGCCAUCAUUCAGUUGGGCACUCUAAGGAGACUGCCGUGGUUAACACGGAGGAAGGUGGGGAUGACGUCAAGUCCUCAUGGCCCUUAUAUGUAGGGCGACACACGUGAUACAAUGGGUGGUACAGAGGGAAGCGAAAGGGUGACCUGGAGCCAAUCUCAAAAAGCCACUCUCAGUUCGGAUUGGAGUCUGCAAUUCGACUCCAUGAAGGUGGAAUUGCUAGUAAUCGCGGAUCAGCACGCCGCGGUGAAUACGUUCCCGGGCCUUGCACACACCGCCCGU
rnacentral:rRNA from 1 species